AUUGAACGCUGGCGGCAGGCCUAACACAUGCAAGUCGAACGGUAACAGGAAGAAGCUUGCUUCUUUGCUGACGAGUGGCGGACGGGUGAGUAAUGUCUGGGAAACUGCCUGAUGGAGGGGGAUAACUACUGGAAACGGUAGCUAAUACCGCAUAACGUCGCAAGACCAAAAAGGGGGACCUUCGGGCCUCUUGCCAUCGGAUGUGCCCAGAUGGGAUUAGCUAGUAGGUGGGGUAACGGCUCACCUAGGCGACGAUCCCUAGCUGGUCUGAGAGGAUGACCAGCCACACUGGAACUGAGACACGGUCCAGACUCCUACGGGAGGCAGCAGUGGGGAAUAUUGCACAAUGGGCGCAAGCCUGAUGCAGCCAUGCCGCGUGUAUGAAGAAGGCCUUCGGGUUGUAAAGUACCUUCAGCGGGGAGGAAGGGAGUAAAGUUAAUACCUUUGCUCAUUGACGUUACCCGCAGAAGAAGCACCGGCUAACUCCGUG
rnacentral:rRNA from 1 species